AUGGCGAGUUUGAUCCUGGCUCAGAGCGAACGCUGGCGGCGUACUUAACACAUGCAAGUCGAACGAGGAUCACGGUGUGAGCAAUCAUAUUGUGGUCCGAGUGGCGCACGGGUGAAUAACACGUGGGUAACCUGCCCUUGAGCCUGGGAUACCCCCUCGAAAGGGGGGCUAAUACCGGAUACGUUCCUUGGGUCGACAGAUCCGGGGAGGAAAGGUGGCGCAAGCUGCCGCUCUUGGAGGGGCUCGCGGCCUAUCAGCUAGUUGGCGGGGUAACGGCCCACCAAGGCUUUGACGGGUAGCUGGUCUGAGAGGACGACCAGCCACACGGGGACUGAGACACGGCCCCGACUCCUACGGGAGGCAGCAGUGGGGAAUUUUCCGCAAUGGGCGAAAGCCUGACGGAGUGACGCCGCGUGUGGGACGAAGGCCUUCGGGUCGUAAACCACUGUCAGUGGGAAAGAUGGGUGUCGGCGUGAUAACCGCCGGCAUUUGACGGUACCUGCAGAGGAAGCCCCGGCCAACUCUGUGCCAGCAGCCGCGGUAAGACAGAGGGGGCAAGCGUUGCUCGGAAUUACUGGGCGUAAAGGGCGCGUAGGCGGGAUGGCAAGUCGGUCGUGAAAUCCUUCGGCUCAACCGAAGAAGGGCGAUCGAUACUGCUGUUCUUGAGGAUUGCAGAGGAGACUGGAAUUCCCGGUGUAGCGGUGAAAUGUGUAGAGAUCGGGAGGAACACCGGUGGCGAAGGCGGGUCUCUGGGCAAUUCCUGACGCUGAGGCGCGAAAGCGUGGGGAGCAAACGGGAUUAGAUACCCCGGUAGUCCACGCUGUAAACGAUGACGACUAGGUGUGGGGGGGUUCAGUCCCUUCCGUGCCGCAGCUAACGCAUUAAGUCGUCCGCCUGGGGAGUACGGCCGCAAGGUUGAAACUCAAAGGAAUUGACGGGGGCCCGC
rnacentral:rRNA from 1 species